AUGAAUCAAGAUCAGUCCAUUAAAGUUGCCCUCAACAAGCAAACAGAUAUUACAAAAAGGCAAAAUCGUAUUCGGUUGAAUACUUCCGUCGAAUCUGUUAGAUACUUAUUACAUCAAGGUUUAGCUUUCCGGGGCAAUGAUGAAUCAGAGGAAUCCAAAAAUAAGGGGAAUUUUCGAGAGUUGGUACAAACAUUAGCAUAUCAGAAUGAGGAUGUGAGGAAUGUAGUUCUUAAGAAUGCUCCAAAAAAUUGCAAAUGGGUGUCUCCAGAUAUUCAAAAGGAACUUGCAAAUUAUUUUGCAAAGGUAAAUUACUACUUUCUAGCAUCUCUAUUCUUUAUUUAUUUCAUAUGA
rnacentral:rRNA from 1 species